GAUUUUCUAUUCCAGAGUUUGUCCGAAAUCUUCUUGACUAUAACGGCCUCUGUCCUGCUUAGUUAGCUCCGAAUUCUAUCCGUCGAUCAUCAACUUUGCACUAUUAUGUCAGCUUAUACCAACCGUUCCUCAUCUUUUCUUUUUUCGAUCUUUCUUUAUCCUUCGUCCUCAUCCAAAGGCCAAAAGUUGGUAGUUCUUCAAUCCGAGGAAAGGCCUUUCUUUCAUUACCGAUCUUCUAUUGUCCAUUCAUAGAUAGAAGAACUAAUUUUUCUUUAUUUCUUCUUCAUC
rnacentral:lncRNA from 1 species